CUUACUACCGCUCCUGGGGUAAAGGUAGGAGGGUGGAGGGACCUGGGUCCCCGCCCUGAUUUGGAGCUGGGGGCACAGCUGCUUUGGUGGUUCCACCAUGGCUUGGCUGUUUGAGUUCCCUCUCUCUUCUGGGGUUGGGGAAUAGACAUAAACUUGACUUUCCCCGUUAAGGGUGGCUGACUACCUUAGAAAGGAAAGGAAGCGGCUGAAAGUCACCGCCUUCACCACCCCAACCCUCAUUUGAAGGGAAGGUGGCAUAGGGUCCCCAGUCAGAACUUCCCUGCUCCUACUGUCACGUUCCAAAAUGAAACGACCUCAAGCUGCACUCGGAGGCGGCUGACUAACUAGUCCUACCGACCCCCUAUUCUUGUCCCAGGAGAGAACCUCUGGGAUCUCCUGACCUGGUUGGGGCGGAGGAUCCGCUCCCCACCACGGUGCCUUGAUCCCGGGUCCCCAGAUCCCCUCCUUUCUCUGACCGCCGCCCCCGGCGGUUGGCGCGGGCGGUGCAGCAUGCGGCAAAGCUCUUUGCAUAAAUUAUGCUCAUGACGCAGCAGCUAAAAAAAUCCAAGUAGCAGAAGGAGGGAAAAAAGGGGGGAGGGAAAAAAGGGGGGGCCGUUACAAAGGGGGAAAGAAGAAAAAUAUAUACCUGACCGCCCCCCCUCUUCCCCUUCCCGCUUCCCGGCCGUCCCCCUCCUCCCAGCGCAGCCCACAGAGCCCCCUUCGGCUCUGCCCAGCCCCGGCGUGGGGGCCCGGGGGCGGCGGCGGGUCCCGACCGGCUCCCGGGCCGAGCUGAGCCCAGCCAAGCCGCACUGGCUUCUUUGUCUGCGGGCGGCGGCCGCCCCGGCCCCGGCCCGGGUCCCCUGGCCCGGGCUGUGAGAUGAAUCUCUAAUCGGUGGCCGCCGGGCACCCGGGGCGAAGGCGGCUCGGGCUCCGGUAAGUGCCGGGGUCCGGGGCGGGGAGGG
rnacentral:lncRNA from 1 species